UACGUAGGCAGCAAGCGUUGUUCGGAAUUACUGGGCGUAAAGAGCGCGUAGGCGGCUCAUGAAGGCUGUGGUGAAAGUCCGGGGCUCAACCUCGGAUCGGCCGUGGCGACUCGUGGGCUGGAGCACUGUAGAGGCGGGUGGAAUUCCGGGUGUAGCGGUGGAAUGCGUAGAGAUCCGGAAGAACACCAGUGGCGAAGGCGGCCCGCUGGGCAGUGGCUGACGCUGAGGCGCGACAGCGUGGGGAGCAAACAGG
rnacentral:rRNA from 1 species